rnacentral:rRNA from 1 species
GACGAACGCUGGCGGCGUGCCUAAUACAUGCAAGUCGAACGCAGUGGGGACGGGUGAGUAACACGUGGGUAACCUCCCAUCAGAGGGGAUAACACUUGGAAACAGGUGCUAAACCGAUACUGAUGGAUGGACCCGCGGUGCAUUAGCUAGUUGGGGGGGUAACGGCUCACCAAGGCCACGAUGCAUAAACGUGCUGAGAGGGUGAUCGGCCACACGGGAACUGAGACACGGCCCGGACUCCUACGGGAGGCAGCAGUGGGGAAUCUUCGGCAAUGGACGAAAGUCUGACCGAGCAACGCCGCGUGGGUGAGGAAGGUUUUCGGAUCGUAAAACUCUGUUGUUAGAGAAGCGGUAUCUAACCAGAAAGGCACGGCUAACUACGUGCCAGCAGCCGCGGUAAUAC